rnacentral:rRNA from 1 species
UACGAAGGGGGCUAGCGUUGCUCGGAAUCACUGGGCGUAAAGCGCACGUAGGCGGCUUUCUAAGUCAGGGGUGAAAUCCUGGAGCUCAACUCCAGAACUGCCUUUGAUACUGGGAAGCUCGAGUCCGGAAGAGGUGAGUGGAACUCCGAGUGUAGAGGUGAAAUUCGUAGAUAUUCGGAAGAGCACCAGUGGCGAAGGCGCUCACUGGCCCGUUACCGACGCUCAGGCGCGACAGCGUGGGGGAGCAAACAGG